CGAAUUGCCUUCCCGGGAUCGGAAUCCAUUAUAGUGCCCUAUCACAUAACAAAGACCAAUGCCUAAAUCGAGGCCCCUGUACGGAGGGUGGUCAACUAUACAUUAUUAUGUAAACCAGGUGAGCACGUCACUUUGCUGAGAGGUAUUCAGAUAGGACCAAGGUCAGUUGGAAAAGAAGGAAGUCUCACUGCUAUAAUUUCCACAUGUAGGCCGAAAUUCUGACACUGAAACUGCAGUAAUCUGUUAGGGAACUCGCUUUCCAAUAAAGAAGCAAGAAGAUUAUUCCAGUUGUCCAGAGACAUGUUAUUCCAUCUUAAACAAAGCAAGAAGACAAGGCAGUGACUCUUAACUACCGUUUAUGAAAAUGGAUUCGCCCCCAACAAAGAUAUCUACUUCGUGUUCGACAGCGCCCGCACCCAUGUCAAGAUUGUCUCACUUGCCGAAGUUUGUCUUAUAGUUAAUUUGCAGGGUUGACAUUUGAUUUGGUUUAAAAUGUAAUGUUUGUAUUGUGUUGUAAUAAUAUUCUGCAUCAGAACGUGCAUCAAACUAAGAGCAGCGUGUAACGGGUGUUUUAUUCACGGAACUUCUGGUAAAAAUGAACCAAAUCCAAGCAUCAACCCUGCACGUCACUAGUUUAUUGCUUGAGAUAUGUAAAUAAGUCGUAGCACAGCUCUCUAUUUACACACGGCGUACUUAUUGUAAUUUGUUUAUUUUUUGUUUAUACCUAUAAAUUCUUGAACCUGAAAGGACAGUUUUGGAGUGCUCUUUAAACAGAAGUCAUUGAAAUCAUUUUCGUGCUUAAGUGAUGCAUAAAAACGAAAAAUUAUUUUAAAAAAUAUUGUAGAAUUAUCACUAAGUGAUGUCCAGGUAGAACGUGAUGCUGGCACGACUGGUUUUCUGUUUGACUGUAAAAUAUGUGUGGGCGAAUAUGUAAUAAGACUAUUUGUUUAUUCAUAUCAAAUUGGAUACAAAUACUUAUUUUGAUGAAGUUCAAUUUUGAAAAGGAAAAAAUGUCGCACUUCCAUUACGUAAAAUGCAUACAGGAAUCUUUUAUUGUGGGUGCAUUUGAAGAAGUGAAAUAGAAGUAAAUAUUCAAUAAACUGUUAAUACAAAUCAUUAUAUUAAAAUAACAGCAGUAUGAAAUUGUAAAAUGUGCUCAAGUUAUUGCAGAAAUGUCCACACUUAUUGAAACGGAUUUUUCUAAAAUUGUGAAUAUGCGGUAAUGACGCAUGCUAUGAAUGAAUGGUUUCCGGUGUUUUGAUAUAGUUUGUCUGAUCAGUGACACACCCAUAGUUUUAUUGCUGUGAAGGGGUAGAAAUGUUUGUGUUUUCAGAAAAUCAAACCUGGGGUUGGGGCAGUUUUUUUUUUUUUUUUUUUUUUUUUUUACAAAAUUAAUGUUUUUGUUUUUACAGAAGGGAAAUUGACCUUUCGCCUGCAGAACAAAGAGGAAAUGUUUGAUGUUCACAAAAAA